CCCUUAGAUGUUCGGGGCCGCACGCGCGCUACACUGAAGGAAUCAGCACGUCUUUCUCCUUGUCCGAAAGGACUGGGUAACCCGCUGAACCUCCUUCGUGCUAGGGAUUGGGGCUUGUAAUUCUUCCCCAUGAACGAGGAAUUCCCAGUAAGCGCGAGUCAUAAGCUCGCGUUGAUUACGUCCCUGCCCUUUGUACACACCGCCCGUCGCUACUACCGAUUGGAUGGUUUAGUGAGAUCCUCGGAUUGGUCCCGGCGCGGCCUCUGGUCGUGCCGGAGUGCCGCAAAGAAUGUCGAACUUGAUCAUCUAGAGGAAGUAAAAGUCGUAACA
rnacentral:rRNA from 1 species